GCGGGCGUAGUUCAGCUGGUAGAACGUUUGCUUGCCAAGCAAAAGGUCGUGGGUUCGAAACCCAUCGCCCGCUC
rnacentral:tRNA from 1 species